GUAAAUCUUUUCAAAUCUUCAAAUAGACGAUGCAAAUUUGUACAAAUCACACCUAAUCUACUCUGACAGGCUCUCAGGAUGAAUGACAAUGAUGGGAUGAACAAUCCACGUUUAGUUUGUACAACUGAUCGUGGAAUUGGUACAUUCAUCUAAUGGUUGAUAUUAUGUGUCAUAAUCUCGAUGGUCCACACGCCGAAACUACGCGGAUGAGAAAAUCCAGAUAGUUUCAAUCGACGCAGCUGUCUUAUUGCAUUUUCAAAUUGUCUGGCAACCGCGGAAGCGUAUCCCCAAAUGGAAGAUGCCUUCGAUCCUGAUCUCAUUCACGCCAUUUUCAAGUUCGUCUGGAGCACAAAAACCCCAGAGCGCGAGAGGAACGAAGACGUUGAGAUCGUGGACAUCGAGGUAGGAGCUGGAACAUCAAAGAAAAAUCGGCCAGCUACAGCUAAUUUGAAUGCUUUGAAGCUGAGCUGUGAACUUCUACGAAUGUUUGUCACAGCGUGCUGCUAUAAUUGCUGAAGCUGAGGGUAAUGUGAAAAUAGAAGCAACUCAUUUAGAAAGGAUACUUCCACAGCUGCUUCUUGAUUUUUAAGGAAGUGGCUGGCAGGUGUACGGUGUACCAACGCACCAGGCAGCAGGUGAUUUGACGUCAGCAAGUUCUGUGGGUCCCAUCAUGAGUUUUCAGGUUCAAGAUCAAGUUAAGAGAGCAAGGGGAGUGGAUUUCUAGAAGUUUAUUUCUGUUUAGCUAGUUAUAAUUUUCUUUUGGUUUGAGUUUAUUGUAAAGGAAUUAUAAUGGAAGAGUGAUCAAGUUUUGAGAGAAUGGUGAUUGGA